CCCUUAGAUGUUCUGGGCCGCACGCGCGCUACACUGACGAAGUCAGCGAGCAUCUCCUUCGCCGAAAGGUGCGGGGAAUCUUGUGAAACUUUGUCGUGCUGGGGAUUGAUUUUUGAAAUUCUUGAUCAUCAACGAGGAAUUCCUAGUAAGCGCAAGUCAGCAGCUUGCGUUGAUUACGUCCCUGCCCUUUGUACACACCGCCCGUCGCUACUACCGAUUGAAUGGUUUAGUGAGAUCCUUGGAUCGGCCCUGUCGCGGCUGGCAACGGCCGCGUCGGCGCGUCGAGAAGACGAUCAAACUUGAUCAUUUAGAGGAAGUAAAAGUCGUAACA
rnacentral:rRNA from 1 species